GAAACUUGGUUUUUGAAGGGCAUGAAGUUUCAUUCAUCAAAACCCAAAAUCUCAGUACUCAAAAACAAAACAAAACAAAAAAUUACAGAUAAAUGGUUCUUGUAUGUUCUUACCCAACUUAUGAGAAUUAAGAAACUUCCAAGCAAUACUGCUGCAUGUUUUCCUAUCCACUGCUCAGUGCAGUACAUGCCUCCCCAAUUACCUCUUGGGUCUCCUAAGUUUAAUGGGAGCCAUGUUAUGCGGUGGGUAGCACUAGUUAUCGCACUUGCAGAGCAGUGACACAAGAAGAAAGGAUAUGCAAAGGAGAAACCCAAAAAGAAAGUAUUUAG
rnacentral:misc_RNA from 1 species